UACAGAGGGGGCAAGCGUUGUUCGGAAUUAUUGGGCGUAAAGGGCGCGUAGGCGGCUUUUCAAGUGACGGGUGAAAUCCCUCGGCUUAACCGAGGAACUGCCUGUCAGACUGGAAGGCUUGAGACCGGGAGAGGUGAGUGGAAUUCCCAGUGUAGCGGUGAAAUGCGUAGAUAUUGGGAGGAACACCAGUGGCGAAGGCGGCUCACUGGACCGGAACUGACGCUGAGGCGCGAAAGCGUGGGGAGCAAACAGG
rnacentral:rRNA from 1 species